UCAUACAAAGUAAUGAUAACAUAAGCUGGCAUUUAUUUAGCCUUACUUUUUUCCCCCAUAGUGUUUUCAUCAUAGUCAGUGAUUUUUUUUUUUUUUAAGAUUUUAUUUAUUUAUGUGACAGAGAGACAGCCAGCGAGAGAGGGAACACAAGCAGGGGGAGUGGGAGAGGAAGAAGCAGGCUCCCAGCAGAGGAGCCCGAUGUGGGACUCGAUCCCAGAAUGCCGGGAUCACGCCCUGAGCUGAAGGCAGAUGCCCAACGACUGCGCCACCCAGGCGCCCCCGUAGUCAGUGAUUCUUAAACUUGAAUGUACAUUAGAGUCACCUAAAGUGCUUGAGCUUUACCUCCAGAGCUGCUGCUUCAGUAAAUCUGAAGUGGGGGCUGAGAAUUUGUAUUUCUAACAAGUUCCCAGGUGUUGUUGCCAAUGCUGCUGUGCCAGGGACCACACUUCUGAGAACUGAUGACCUAAACGCUUCUGUCUUCAGAGCAGCUCAAUUGAAUAGGUCCACCGCGCCUCUGGAUGACAUCUAGCCCCGGCCUACAUUUCCUGGAACCUUCUCCUCCUCGAGGCUACCACGGGCCCCCAUUCGUGCUUUGGCUAAAUCUCUGGUGCCCAGGGUGAGUGAACUCAGGGUCUCCUGAGGCCCCGCAGUUCAGGGCAACUCCAGUCACCCGGCCGAAUCUACCGCCCUGCUUGGCGCGGGCCGCGACUUUCGGGGCUUUGGCCUACAUUACCUCUGUGCCCAAGCCUACUCUCUGUCCCAGUUCCCUGACUAGGAGCAGGGCUACGGCUUCGCGGCUGCGGUGGUCCGGUGUCCUCCGGGGAGCUUCGCUCAUGCAGCUUGAAGCCGGCCGAUCCCACCUACGAGAGGCGGUGUUCCUGUCUGAGUGAAUGAUGGGAGCUAUGACACUGAGCCUGUGCUGUGCAAUGUGGUAGCUACUGGCCACAGGCAGCUAUUGAGCCCUUGAAAUGUAACUGAUCAGAAUUGAGAUGUGCUGUAAGUAUAAAAUACAUUCGGAUUUCAAAGACCUAGUAGGAAACAAAGAAUGUAAAAUAUCCUAUGAAUCAUUCUUUUAUAUUGAUUGCAUGAUGAAAUAAUAUUUGAAAAUAUUGGAUUAAAUAAAGUAUAUUAUUAAAAUUAAUUUUAUCUUUUGUUACUUUAAAA
rnacentral:lncRNA from 1 species